GCAAGUAGAACGCUGAAGAGAGGAGCUUGCUCUUCUUGGAUGAGUUGCGAACGGGUGAGUAACGCGUAGGUAACCUGCCUUGUAGCGGGGGAUAACUAUUGGAAACGAUAGCUAAUACCGCAUAACAAUGGAUGACACAUGUCAUUUAUUUGAAAGGGGCAAUUGCUCCACUACAAGAUGGACCUGCGUUGUAUUAGCUAGUAGGUGAGGUAAUGGCUCACCUAGGCGACGAUACAUAGCCGACCUGAGAGGGUGAUCGGCCACACUGGGACUGAGACACGGCCCAGACUCCUACGGGAGGCAGCAGUAGGGAAUCUUCGGCAAUGGGGGCAACCCUGACCGAGCAACGCCGCGUGAGUGAAGAAGGUUUUCGGAUCGUAAAGCUCUGUUGUAAGUCAAGAACGGGUGUGAGAGUGGAAAGUUCACACUGUGACGGUAGCUUACCAGAAAGGGACGGCUAACUACGUGCCAGCAGCCGCGGUAAUACGUAGGUCCCGAGCGUUGUCCGGAUUUAUUGGGCGUAAAGCGAGCGCAGGCGGUUUGAUAAGUCUGAAGUUAAAGGCUGUGGCUCAACCAUAGUUCGCUUUGGAAACUGUCAAACUUGAGUGCAGAAGGGGAGAGUGGAAUUCCAUGUGUAGCGGUGAAAUGCGUAGAUAUAUGGAGGAACACCGGUGGCGAAAGCGGCUCUCUGGUCUGUAACUGACGCUGAGGCUCGAAAGCGUGGGGAGCGAACAGGAUUAGAUACCCUGGUAGUCCACGCCGUAAACGAUGAGUGCUAGGUGUUGGAUCCUUUCCGGGAUUCAGUGCCGCAGCUAACGCAUUAAGCACUCCGCCUGGGGAGUACGACCGCAAGGUUGAAACUCAAAGGAAUUGACGGGGGCCCGCACAAGCGGUGGAGCAUGUGGUUUAAUUCGAAGCAACGCGAAGAACCUUACCAGGUCUUGACAUCCCGAUGCUAUUUCUAGAGAUAGAAAGUUACUUCGGUACAUCGGUGACAGGUGGUGCAUGGUUGUCGUCAGCUCGUGUCGUGAGAUGUUGGGUUAAGUCCCGCAACGAGCGCAACCCCUAUUGUUAGUUGCCAUCAUUCAGUUGGGCACUCUAGCGAGACUGCCGGUAAUAAACCGGAGGAAGGUGGGGAUGACGUCAAAUCAUCAUGCCCCUUAUGACCUGGGCUACACACGUGCUACAAUGGUUGGUACAACGAGUUGCGAGUCGGUGACGGCGAGCUAAUCUCUUAAAGCCAAUCUCAGUUCGGAUUGUAGGCUGCAACUCGCCUACAUGAAGUCGGAAUCGCUAGUAAUCGCGGAUCAGCACGCCGCGGUGAAUACGUUCCCGGGCCUUGUACACACCGCCCGUCACACCACGAGAGUUUGUAACACCCGAAGUCGGUGAGGUA
rnacentral:rRNA from 1 species